rnacentral:lncRNA from 1 species
GAAGCUUCUGUACAUGAUACUUACCUUUGAAUCAUUUUCAGAGAUCGGCUAGCGCCUGUACGGAGACCACUGCAUUCCAAAUUAUGCUUCUGCACCCGAGAUUAGCAGAACGUGAGAAGAAACGAUAUGGUAAAUGAUAAACUUCUGUUCUUGUCCAGAGAACAUAGGCUGAAAGUAUUGCUACUAGUGUUUGUAAUUUUGACAGUGAUACAAAACUUGAAGUCCUAACAAAUACACUAAAUUGGUUGAACUGUUAUUUCAGUAACUUCUUUCACUAUCAACUUGGCCCACCUUUGAUUCCAGAACAACAAAUAUUGGAUCCUCAACUUCUUUCAUAAUACUAGUGCAACUUGGUCAAAGGUGGGCCAAGUUGCGCUCACUUCAUAGAAGAAGUGGAGCACCACCCAUAACCAAAUUAGUUCCUUACAAGCCUUUGCCAAGUUCCGUUACUUUCUAAUAUGAACAACUUUCACAUCUCCUCACUCAUCUCGUUUGGAGGCAGUCAAGCCAAUCAUGUGGACAACACACAUCAUGUGGCUCAGUGCACGUGUUAUCUUAGGGCUUUACAUGUGAGCCAAGUUGAGCAUCACCGAGCUCGAUAACUUGGUGGAUUAACAUAUAGGAUUUUUCAAUACUCUAAUCCUGUUAAUUUUGUGCAGGGUAAAACGUUUGACUAACCUUGUCAGUAUCACCAGCAUUCUUGGAAGCAGCAAUUUCCUCAGCAUUAUGUUGCUGGUAACGCUCCAGAAGCUUUGCAAAACUGAAGCAGAAAAGGGUCACAAGAAAAAAAAUAUAUAUG